UGUUGGUGUUGCAGGAUGCUGCAGCAGAGGAACAUGGAGUCCACAUCACGUCUCUGCUCACAUCAGGACGGUGCAGAGAUUUCAGAUGCAGCUGCACAUUUACAACGAAGAAAAACAACCUGCAGAACUCAAUCAGCUUGAGCAGUUUAUCUAAAGUGAAGCAGAUGGCCAUCAUCAUCAUCAUCAUCUGAUACAGGUAACAAAAAAAAGGAUAUAAGCAAACAAAAGAAAAGCUAU